rnacentral:rRNA from 1 species
GUGGGGAAUCUUAGACAAUGGGGGAAACCCUGAUCUAGCCAUGCCGCGUGAGCGAUGAAGGCCUUAGGGUUGUAAAGCUCUUUCAGCUGGGAAGAUAAUGACGGUACCAGCAGAAGAAGCCCCGGCUAACUCCGUGCCAGCAGCCGCGGUAAUACGGAGGGGGCUAGCGUUGUUCGGAAUUACUGGGCGUAAAGCGCGCGUAGGCGGACCAGAAAGUUGGAGGUGAAAUCCCAGGGCUCAACCUUGGAACUGCCUUCAAAACUCCCAGUCUUGAGUUCGAGAGAGGUGAGUGGAAUUCCGAGUGUAGAGGUGAAAUUCGUAGAUAUUCGGAGGAACACCAGUGGCGAAGGCGGCUCACUGGCUCGAUACUGACGCUGAGGUGCGAAAGCGUGGGGAGCAAACAGGAUUAGAUACCCUAGUAGUCC